rnacentral:rRNA from 1 species
UACGUAGGGUGCGAGCGUUGUCCGGAAUUAUUGGGCGUAAAGAGCUUGUAGGCGGUUUGUCACGUCGGGAGUGAAAACUCAGGGCUUAACCCUGAGCCUGCUUUCGAUACGGGCUGACUUGAGGAAGGUAGGGGAGAUCGGAAUUCCUGGUGGAGCGGUGGAAUGCGCAGAUAUCAGGAGGAACACCAGUGGCGAAGGCGGAUCUCUGGACCUUUCCUGACGCUGAGAAGCGAAAGCGUGGGGAGCAAACAGGCUUAGAUACCCUGGUAGU